GACGAACGCUGGCGGCGUGCUUAACACAUGCAAGUCGAACGAAGUGCGAUGGAAGCUUGCUUCUAUCAAUCUUAGUGGCGAACGGGUGAGUAACGCGCAAUCAACCUGCCCUUCAGAGGGGGACAACAGUUGGAAACGACUGCUAAUACCGCAUACGAUCUAAUCUCGGCAUCGAGGAUAGAUGAAAGGUGGCCUCUACAUGUAAGCUAUCACUGAAGGAGGGGAUUGCGUCUGAUUAGCUAGUUGGAGGGGUAACGGCCCACCAAGGCGAUGAUCAGUAGCCGGCUGGUAGGGAGGAAGGCCGCCUGGGGGCGGGAGAGACGCCCCAGGCUCCUAGGGAGGGCGCAGUGGGGGAUGGUCCGCAAUGGAGGGAAAUAUUGCGGAACGAACGCGGGUGGGAGGUGGCGGCCCUCCGGGUGGGAAGACCUUUUAAUCGGGACGAAAGGCCUUCUUGCGAAUAGUGAGAAGGAUUGACGGUACCGGAAUAGAAAGCCACGGCUAACUACGUG
rnacentral:rRNA from 1 species